UACGUAGGGGGCAAGCGUUGUCCGGAUUCAUUGGGCGUAAAGAGCGUGUAGGCGGCCAGGUAGGUCGGUUGUGAAAACUGGAGGCUCAACCUUCAGAGGUCGACCGAAACCAUCUGGCUAGAGUCCGGGAGAGGAGAGUGGAAUUCCUGGUGUAGCGGUGUAAUGCGCAGAUAUCAGGAGGAACACCCGUGGCGAAAGCGGCUCUCUGGAACGGUACUGACGCUGAGACGCGAAAGCGUGGGGAGCGAACAGG
rnacentral:rRNA from 1 species